rnacentral:rRNA from 1 species
GACGAAGGUGGCAAGCGUUGCUCGGAAUCAUGCUGGGCAUAAAGCGCGCGUAGGUGGCUUGAUAAGUCGGUGGUGAAAAUCCCCAUGGCUUCAACCAUGGAACUGCCGUCGAGUACUGUCAGGCUUGAGGGCGGUAGGGGAGAGUGGAACUCCUGGUGUAGCGGUGAAAUGCGUAGAUAUCAGGAGGAACACCGAUUGCGAAGGCAGCUCGCUGGGACGUCACUGACGCUGAGACGCGAAAGCGUGGGGAGCAAACAGG